CCUACGGGGAGCAGCAGUGAGGAAUAUUGGUCAAUGGACGAGAGUCUGACCCAGCCAAGUAGCGUGAAGGAUGACUGCCCUAUGGGUUGUAAACUUCUUUUAUAAAUGAAUAAAACGAGGCACGUGUGCCUUUUUGCAUGUACUUUAUGAAUAAGGAUCGGCUAACUCCGUGCCAGCAGCCGCGGUAAUACGGAGGAUCCGAGCUUUAUCCGGAUUUGUUGGGUUUAAAGGGAGCGUAGAUGGGUUGUUACGUCAGUUGUGAAAGUUUGCGGCUCAACCGUAAAAUUGCAAUUGAUACUGGCAGUCUUGAGUACAGUUGAGGUAGGCGGAAUUCGUGGUGUAGCGGUGAAAUGCUUAGAUAUCACGAAGAACCCCGAUUGCGAAGGCAGCUUACUAAACUGUGACUGACAUUGAUGCUCGAAAGUGUGGGUAUCAAACAGGAUUAGAUACCCGAGUAGUC
rnacentral:rRNA from 1 species